rnacentral:rRNA from 1 species
AGUGAACGCUGGCGGUAGGCCUAACACAUGCAAGUCGAACGGCAGCACAGUAAGAGCUUGCUCUUACGGGUGGCGAGUGGCGGACGGGUGAGGAAUACAUCGGAAUCUACUUUUUCGUGGGGGAUAACGUAGGGAAACUUACGCUAGUACCGCAUACGACCUACGGGUGAAAGCAGGGGAUCUUCGGACCUUGCGCGAUUGAAUGAGCCGAUUUCGGAUUAGCUAGUUGGCGGGGUAAAGGCCCACCAAGGCGACGAUCCGUAGCUGGUCUGAGAGGAUGAUCAGCCAAACUGGAACUGAGACACGGUCCAGACUCCUACGGGAGGCAGCAGUGGGGAAUAUUGGACAAUGGGCGCAAGCCUGAUCCAGCCAUACCGCGUGGGUGAAGAAGGCCUUCGGGUUGUAAAGCCCUUUUGUUGGGAAAGAAAAGCAGCAGGUUAAUACCCCGCUGUUCUGACGGUACCCAAAGAAUAAGCACCGGCUAACUUCGU